rnacentral:rRNA from 1 species
AUUGAACGCUGGCGGCAGGCUUAACACAUGCAAGUCGAGCGAGCGGCGGACGGGUGAGUAAUGUCUGGGCAACUGCCUGAUGGAGGGGGAUAACUACUGGAAACGGUCGCUAAUACCGCAUACCAUCAGAUGUGCCCAGAUGGGAUUAGCUAGUAGGUGGGGUAAGGGCUCACCUAGGCGACGAUCCCUAGCUGGUGUGAGAGGAUGACCAGCCACACGGGAACGGGGAAACGGUCCAGACUCCUACGGGAGGCAGAAGUGGGGAAUAUUGGACAAUGGGCGAAAGCCUGAUGCAGCCAUGCCGCGUAUGUGAAGAAGGCCUUCGGGUUGUAAAGCACUUUCAGCGAGGAGGCGUUACUCGCAGAAGAAGCACCGGCUAACUCCGUGCCAGCAGCCGCGGUAAUAC